CGGGGGUAGAGCACUGUUUCGGCUAGGGGGCCAUCCCGGCUUACCAACCCGAUGCAAACUGCGAAUACCGGAGAAUGUUAUCACGGGAGACACACGGCGGGUGCUAACGUCCGUCGUGAAGAGGGAAACAACCCAGACCGCCAGCUAAGGUCCCAAAGUCAUGGUUAAGUGGGAAACGAUGUGGGAAGGCCCAGACAGCCAGGAUGUUGGCUUAGAAGCAGCCAUCAUUUAAAGAAAGCGUAAUAGCUCACUGGUCGAGUCGGCCUGCGCGGAAGAUGUAACGGGGCUAAACCAUGCACCGAAGCUGCGGCAGCGACGCUGAUGCGUUGUUGGGUAGGGGAGCGUUCUGUAAGCCUGCGAAGGUGGCCUGUGAGGGUUGCUGGAGGUAUCAGAAGUGCGAAUGCUGACAUAAGUAACGAUAAAGCGGGUGAAAAGCCCGCUCGCCGGAAGACCAAGGGUUCCUGUCCAACGUUAAUCGGGGCAGGGUGAGUCGACCCCUAAGGCGAGGCCGAAAGGCGUAGUCGAUGGGAAACGGGUUAAUAUUCCCGUACUUGGUGUUACUGCGAAGGGGGGACGGAGAAGGCUAUGUUGGCCGGGCGACGGUUGUCCCGGUUUAAGCGUGUAGGUGUGUGUUCCAGGUAAAUCCGGUUCACUUUAACACUGAGGCGUGAUGACGAGGCACUACGGUGCUGAAGCAACAAAUGCCCUGCUUCCAGGAAAAGCCUCUAAGCAUCAGGUAACAUCAAAUCGUACCCCAAACCGACACAGGUGGUCAGGUAGAGAAUACCAAGGCGCUUGAGAGAACUCGGGUGAAGGAACUAGGCAAAAUGGUGCCGUAACUUCGGGAGAAGGCACGCUGACA
rnacentral:rRNA from 1 species